UCAUGACUCAAACACCUCCCAUUAGGCCCCACCUUCAACAUUGGGGUCAAACUUCAACAUGAGAUUUAGAGGGGACAAACAUCCAAACUACAGCAUUCCGCCAAACUAUAGCAUUCUCAUAGUGCAAAAUACAAUCAUUCCAUCCCAAUAGUUCUCAAAAUUGUUAACUUAUUCCACCAUCAACUCAAAAGCCUAAAGUCAACAGUCUCAUCUCAGACUCAAAAGGUCAUGUCUGAAGAACCUCAACACACAAUUGCCUGAGCUUCCAUGAGGCCACAAAAGGAAGACAAGAUUCAAAGACUUCAAGGCUGUGUAAUUCAAAUGUAAUACUUUCCUCAACAAUAAAAAGAGGAAAAAAUGCCUACAUUGUAGUGUGAUUGUGAG
rnacentral:lncRNA from 1 species